rnacentral:rRNA from 1 species
UUGGAGGGCAAGUCUGGUGCCAGCAGCCGCGGUAAUUCCAGCUCCAAUAGCGUAUAUUAAAGUUGUUGCGGUUAAAAAGCUCGUAGUUGAACUUCGGGGUCUACCCAUUGGUCAGGCUUAAUUGUCUGUACUGGUGAGAUGGAUCUCUACCUUCUGAGGAACUUUCAUGCCAUUUAUUUGGUGUGAUGGGAAAUCAGGACUGUUACUUUGAAAAAAUUAGAGGGUUUAAAGCAGACUAUCGUCUGAAUACAUUAGCAUGGAAUAAUGAAAUAGGACGGACUGAUUCUAUUUCGUUGGUUUCUAGGAUCACCGUAAUGAUUAAUAGGGAUAGUUGGGGGCAUUAGUAUUCAAUUGUCAGAGGUGAAAUUCUUGGAUUUAUUGAAGACUAACUACUGCGAAAGCAUUUGCCAAGGAUGUUUUCAUUAAUCAGGAACGAAAGUUAGGGGAUCGAAGACGAUCAGAUACCGUCGUAGUCUUAACCAUAAACUAUGCCGACUAGGGAUCGGACGAAGUUAAUUUUAUAAUGACGCGUUCGGCACCUUACGGGAAACCAAAGUGUUUGGGUUC